AGCAAUACUUCCAGAUCUCCAUAUAACCUCUGUUCAUUUGGGAGGGGCUUUGUAUUUUCAACAGGAGAGUUCAAAGUUCAUUUUUUUUUCAGCAACUACAGUUCUAAGUUAAAUCUAUUUUUAUUGAUACAUGAUAUUUUACAUGUUUAUGGGAUACAUAUGAGUCAUAAUCUAUUUUAAAUAAUAUCUUAGUGUUGUAAAAUCAACAGUGCUUUUUAAAAGAAAUAUACCUUGUUAAUUAUCCCACAUGUGUCAUCAGAAGUACAGCUUGAACAAGUCCACCUUCCGUGGACCAAGCACCACCCUGGGCAUUUCUAGCAUGAGCAAAAUCCAAGGUCCUGGCUGGACUCCAGAGAUGCUAUUUACCUCAGAAGCAUGACAAUAGGAGGCAGAAGGAGCAGGCAAAUCCAACUCCUUUCUUGUAGUUUCCUUGUUUGGGGAGGAAAAGUUGAGUUUUACUAUUAUGGAAAAGAAACAGGAAAUAGAGACCGACAAAGAGAUAUGACAAUACAGUCCUGCCACCCAGAUACUCGUUUCCUCCUACCAUUCCAUGCAUUUGUUUUGAAUAUAUAAGUAUGUACAUAAAGGUAGGUACUCUCAAGUCCAUCAGGGCUUGGAUGUCCACUGUUUUUGAAGUUCCAGAAUGUUUUUGCUAAGUUGAGGAAAUACCAAAACAGGACUAUGAAAAUUAUGGUAUAUAUUGAUGUGUCACAGAACACAGAUGUGACAUAAUAAAGAUGUGUAAGAUUAUAUAUAUAACUUGUGUGUACACCUACCUCAUCUGGGGAUAACACCUCAAGUUUAAUUUUGAGGCUUGGGUCAAUCGUGCUUCCCUUCCCUUUCAUAGGUCCUCUAUGAGAUAUUGUCAUAGAUUCCAUGUUAUGCAAUAGCCAUAGAAUAUGACCUCUCUCUAUGAUAAUUCUAUAUUACUUUAAUUGCUGCACAGAAGUUCAUUGUAUGUAAGUGCCACAGUAUAUUAUAGAUCUUCUUGUGGGACAUCUAUUUCUAGUUUAUGUGAUAGUAUAGCACUCUCACGAAUGUUCUUGUACUUGAUCUUUACACAUUUUCUUUUUUCCUUAGGAUGAAUUCUGAGAGAUGUAAUUGAUGGGGCAAAAUGUACUCACUGUUUGAGGUUUGAAAUUUUUCCAUCAAAAGCUGGUACUCUUGGUUUUUUAAGACAAAGAGCAAAUCCUCCCCUGCCAGGAUUGACUUUUGGCUCUUUUUUUUUCAAACCUCACUGCUUUUUGGUUUAGUUGUCAUAAAAUGCCAAGCACCAUGAACAGGGCUCCAUGAAGGGGCUCAGAGGUAGGAGGGCUGUGAUUAGGAGAAGGCUUGGCCUGAUGGGCAAUUUGAGUGCUCAGAAUUAGAGUGAGGGGGUGGGGGUGCUGCAGGGACAGAUGCUGGGGAAAGACAUCCUGAAGGGCAAAGGGAGCAACAAUGGCUGCAGUACAUGUGGCCAUUCAGCUAGUGCAGAGGAUGGAAACCAGAGUGGGCUGAUGAUUGGAUGCCAGGCCUGAGCCAGGUGAGUCCUGUUCUCAUUAUACUGUAAAGUGAGCUGCUCCAAGCCUCCCUGAUUCUUAGCACUCCCAGUCCCUGCAGGGGUCCCUGAGAAGGUUAAUCUUGCUUGCAUUAGGCCCUCUGCUGUUUUCCCUCUGUAAGCCUUACUCCACUUUGCAGUGAGUUCUAGUAUAACUUCUAUUCCAGCAAGAUAAAAUGGUUAAGGACUCCAGAAAAGAAAUUUGGUGAACACAAAGGGUUUGUCAUACUUUAACUUUUGUCCCUUUCCCAGGUGGCCCAUGCUUCUAGGCCAGCCUCCCAAUUCCUAGCUUGCUUCAUGCUCCUGGCCUUUGCCUACUCAAAACAAUCUGUCCUCCCCACCCUGUCAUCUCUGUUCAGAGUAAAUACCUCCCUCCCUCUGCUUUUGCCCUAAGUUCUUUUUUUCAACUCACCUAACAUCUAACUUGGCUUUGCAGCUCUGUUUCUCCAAAACCCUCUCUGCCUGUUUCCUCCCAAGCUAUCUAUGACCAGUGCCAGAAACCAGAAAAUCUUCUUGGAAGCUGCACUCUUUGCUUCUCUUCCCUCUCCUUUAUCCUUGCACUUGGAAUCUCUCUCCUUCUACCUGUCUCUAUCUGCUGCAAUCCUGUUCAUCUUUCCAGGUACAUUCCUCACUUUUUCAUCUUUAAGAAGUCCUCUCAGAAACCGCAUAGGAUUUUUUCAUGAUAUAUGCCAUAUUCCACUGUGUAUGUAGAUUACACCACAGGGUUUUUAAUUUCCUAAAGGCAAGAGCUAUAACCUAGUCAUCUUCCUCUCCUAAGUGGGGAGUAUCACCAUGACUUGACCAAGUAGCUAUGAUAUGGGUGCUAUCUCCAUAAAUGAAUGAGCCGUGAGGAAAAAGGAGAUGAUUAUGAGUGAAUGAAGAAUCUUAAUAAGGAAAGUUUAUUCCACAGUGAAGCAGUGUUGGUGGCUCCAAAACCUCUCUUUAGGAAGGAUUUAGGACAGCAUCCUAAUCAAAAGGGCCUGGAAGCACUUUAUAAAAGAGAGAGACAAGAUCGCAUGUCAAACUAGAAGGAUGGAGGUGAGAGGAGAUAGGGCUCCAGAGUGGAGCAAGCCCCUUCUGUCCCCUUGAACUUCCUGCCGGUGCAUGGGUUACCUCUCAUUAAAUUUAAUAGUACUUGUUGCUUUGGUGUAGUGAAAUGAAUGCCUUGAUGAAAUUGCAUUGCACCAUUUUUGAAAGAGAGAAUACUCAAACGUGUCACUUCUGUUUCUUGCAAGCAACUGUGAUCCUGAGCUGUGCACACUUCUGGUUGGGAUUAUUUCUGGUUUCUACUUCCUGUUUGAAGAUGUGGCAUGGAGAGUGUAAGUUGAAGAGAUGAGUGCGGGGCUCAUCUAUCCCUGGAAUUGUCUUUCCCACAAUCCCUGACACAGAAUAUGAGCCAUACAAGAAUUCUGAAGAAAUGGGUCUCUUGCCACCUCCCAGUAAAAGAUUAUUUUUGAAAAAAAAAAGGCUCUGCUUUGACCUGAAGUAUUUUAUGUAUCCUCAGUCUCAGGACACUGUUGAUGGAAUUAAGGCCAAGCACAUCUGCAAAAAAGACAUUGCUGGAGGAGGUGCAAAGAGCUGGAAACCAAGUCUCCAGUCCUGGGAAAAGCAGUGGUAUGGAAAAGCAAUGGAAAGAGCAUUUUGAAAAUGCCAUUCCACUGUUUUCUGGCCUUUAUGAUUUCUGCUGAGAAAUCCACUGUUAGUCUGAUGGGGUCUCCUUCAUAGCUGUCUGGGAACACUCUGAAAGCCCUGAGCUGCCACAUAAGAAGUCUGGCUACCUUGAGACUGUGAUGCUAGAGAGGCCAUGUGUAGAUACUCCAGUUGAAGCUCCCAGCUGAGCCCAACCUUCUCCAUCAAAGUGCCGGACAUGUGGUGGAUUAGAUUGGGGAACCUCCCCAGGACCCUGGAUCCUGCACUUUGUCCUAAGGAAGGGGUGAUACUGGAUGGAGCUGAAUUACACUGAGAUUCCCCCAGUGCACCAAUGACCUGAAGAGCCUUGUUGAAGGAAGACUCCAUCUGAUGACUCAGAGCAAGAGCUGUUAUCACUGCAGAACCAAGGUCACCUGUGGAAGCUCCUUGCUGAAGCCAGUUUUCUAUCAGAUCAUCCAUCAGGCCUAGCAGGGGGCAGGCAUUGUGCUGACUGUGGAAGAUCACAGAGAGUGUGUCAGAGUGAAAUUGACUUUGAAACUGUCUUUGUCCCUUUUGUACAGACCACACAACUGGUGCCAAUGGCGUCGCUGCCUGACUUUAAACUGUCCUGCCACUAGGAACCCUCACUGUCCAGCUCCAUAGUGCAACAAGAAGGAGGUGAGGUUUUGGCAUCUUCAGGGAGUAUCCUCAGUCUUCCUAUGUUUUGGAAUGAGUUCCAUUUGGCUGCAAAAAGAGGAGCUUCUGGGAUGAUAAAAUGAGGCAUAUCCUGCACCACUACAUGUGUCCAUACAUGAUCUGAGCAGGAAGAGCAGUGGACAAGGAGUCUGGAAUGCUGGCUCAAGUUCUGAGUCAGCCACAGCCUGCUGUGUGACUCUGAGUGAGUCACUGAGCUUCCCUGGAUUCAGUUUCCUCAACAGUCAAAUUUCUAUGGCCUUUUGGGCACCACCAUGCAUGAGAACACAAAGAGAGCAUGAUUACUCAGGGGUGUGUGCAUGUGUGAGAAAAGAAGCUGGAAAUGGAUCCUCUCUUUUAUAAAAAUAUUCCACAAUGACCAAUGUGAAGCAGCAUUAUCGAGAGCAUGCAUUCUCAGCAGGGGCGACUUACUCCUAAGGACCAACAACUGCUCCUUGAGGAUGGGGCAAAAAAAAUAUCAAAUACUCAAUGGCCCAUCAAUGAGAGAGACAACAUUUAGAUAGGAGUACUGGACAUUUGAAAAUUCUUACACCCUGUGAUGUGACAUGGAGAAGUGAUCAACACAACUUUGCCAACUAUACUCCAUUCUUAGUAACUGCCGAUUAGGAAGGAUUUCUUUCUAAGUCUGUCACUAAUUCAACUGUUAUUCACAAGAGAAGUAGAGGCAAAUGA